UUGAAAACUGUAGUGACCUAAUCUCAUCUCAGACAUAGAUAUGAGAACAUUUCAGAACCAGAGACAGGAUGUUUUUUUCUGAAAUUGGUUUCCUCAGCAUUCCUUUUGUAAGCUCUUCAAUUUCACAUUUUACAGUUUAUGCCCUUAAAAAAAAAGGUUAUCAUCUGGGAAGAAAAGAAGCCUGGCCCUUCCCUAAUUCAGUUUGGGCUGGGCCGCGACAAGGACUUAGUCCCUGUCAUGGAUGUCUGCUAACGUGAAAAUGAUGAGGCUUCCAGCCUUUUGGUGACUGUCUUGUAGGAAUUCUGAAGUUUUCUUCAUUACAGACAAGGCCUCCUCGAGACCCAGAUACCAAGUUUCAGCUACUGAGUUUUCAAGAGUGGAAUUGGAUUUAUGCUCUGUAUGUUUCAAACUAAAGCAAAUUGAUAGAUGAUUAAAAAAAAGCACUACUUCUUUUUGCUUUCUGAAUUUUCAAGUGUUUGAUAAGUGCAGAGAGGUCUUUUAUUGCAUAUCUAGUAGUAAUUCAUAGCCAAAACCCCCUGGGCCUUUGUGUAUUAUGGUCCACUAGCCCUGAAAUUCAGCUGUCCCUAUUGAAAGAUAAUUGGCCCUUAAGCAACCUUCACCCCAUUCUCAAAUCCUCUGCUCAAUAAAUAUUUAAUUGAUUGCUGAUGGCAAUUAGAAAA